ACUCUAAAACUAUCUCGGGAUGAUUGAGACAUUGAGCAUUUGUAGUUCUAAGUUCUAACGUGUUUUUGUCACAAUCUUUUGCUCAUUUGAUCAUUAUUAAAAUAUCAUUUGAUCAUUUACUUUUAUAAAAAAGAAUAAUUUUCUUUUAUAAAUUUUAUAUUUAAGCAAAAUUACUCUUAUACAAUUGUCGAUAAAAGUUUGUUUAAGCAGCAAAGAAAUGUGUAAGCUCUUAUCCUUGAGCACCUCUUCCACUCCUCCGGCGCCAACUUUCCGCUUAACCUGCGCCGCCGUAGGUUUUCCCGGAGCCACAGUUGCAGUGCGCUCAAGGCCAGGGACCUCAGCUCUUUCUAUCCACUACAAUGAGCAUCAGUUCGUACCGGAGGUUGAGAGAGCGGUGGACUCGUUGUACUCGGAAUUCCGAGCUGUGGAUAAUCUGGUGGCGUGCAACUCGGCCCGCGUGCUUAAAGCUUUUAAGAAUGCUCGUCUUGGAUUCCAUCACUUUGGUGGCAGCACGGGCUAUGGCCAUGAGGAAUCUGGUGGGCGUGAAGCACUGGAUGAAGCUUUUGCAGAGGUUUUUGGUGCUGAAUCUGCAAUUGUUCGAGGACAGUUUUUCUCAGGUACUCAUGCAAUCACAUGUGCUUUGUUUGCUUUCCUAAGGCCUGGAGAUGAGCUUCUGGCAGUUGCUGGAGCUCCCUAUGACACGUUGGAAGAAGUUAUUGGGAUCAGGGACUCUAAUGAUUGGGGUUCUUUACGAGACUUUGGAAUAGAUUACAGAGAAGUGUCACUUACAGAGGAUGGAGGGCUAGACUGGGACGCCCUGAAAAUUGCUCUGAAACCUCAAACAAAAUGUGCACUCAUUCAAAGAUCAUGCGGUUAUUCAUGGAGGCGUAGCUUGAGUGUAGAAGAAAACGGCAAGGCUAUAAAGAUAAUCAAGUUGCAGAAUCCCCAUUGUUUGGUCAUGGUGGAUAAUUGCUAUGGUGAAUUUACAGAUAGAAUCGAACCUCCAAUGGUGGGUGCAGAUCUAAUUCCUGGAAGUUUCAUAAAAAAUCCUGGUGGAACUAUAGCCCCAUGCGGUGGGUAUGUUGCAGGGAAAAAGAAAUGGGUAGCAGCAGCAGCUGCUCGUCUCUCUGCCCCGGGUCUAGGAAUUGAUUGUGGUUCAACGUCAGGAGAUAUAAUGCGACUGUUUUUUCAGGGCUUGUUCCUUGCUCCACAAAUGGUUGGUGAAGCAGUAAAGGGAAGCCUUCUUAUUGCUGAAGUAAUGGCAGGUAGAGGAUAUGAGGUGCAACCAUUUUGCCGAGCCCCCCGCAAUGAUGUAGUGCAGGCAGUAAAACUUGGAAGCCGUGAACGGCUGCUCGCCUUUUGUGAAGCUGUGCAAAGAAGUUCUCCAGUUAGCUCUUUUACAAAACCUAUAGCAGGUGCAACUCCUGGCUAUGCAUCUGAGGUACUUAUAAAGCUGCAACAUAUAUCCGAACUAUAUCUGCUGCUUUUGAUAGUUUAAACUCAUUCGCGCUUUCAUCUUUGCCCAAGGAUAUAACCAAAAUUGAGCUCAUCAACAUGUUCUGUUGGAUUUGGUAGAGGAUAUCCAAAUGACAUGAUUACUAGGUGAUAUUUGCUGAUGGGACUUUUAUUGACGGAAGUACAAGUGAACUUUCGUGUGAUGGCCCUCUCAGGGAGCCAUAUGCCGUCUUCUGCCAGGUUCAUGUCUCAUCUUCUCUUGCACUAGUUAUGAAUAACCUUUCCUUAUAAAAGAGAUGUCUCCACCACUGAUCUUUGUGAUCCAAUGGCUGAAAAUGAGCCUUGCCUUCUCAGAAUAAGAAGGGUUCUCAUUUGAAGAUAUUUCUCCACAAACAGGGUGGCAGCCAUUGGACGCAGUGGGGACUAGUUCUCGGGGAGGUGCUAAAAGCGUUGUAAGAUGCGCACGUUUCUUAGCAAACAUGGGCUGUACUGGCUGACCUACAUGCAAUGGGGGAGCCCCUAAUGAAUUCAUUUUUUAAACUUUUUUCUAUCAUAAAGUUUUAAAAUUUAUUCAUAUUUUAUACACAUUAUUAUAUAAAAGCCCCUAUUAAUAAUCUAAAUUACCUACAAAUUUGUUUUUAAGGUAAAUUUUUAACAUUUAGCCCUACUCACGUUUAUUUCUGCGUCCGCCACUAGGCCUGUAUCCCUCCUUGUAUGGUGUAUCCGUUCCAAUUUUGAUCAUAGUUUGACGUGUACUCUAUUAGAUCAUAGUUUGAUGUGUACUCUAUUAUUCAUCUUGGAUAUUAA